AUCCCAGAUAAGCUAAAAAAUUAUGCUUAUCUGAUUCAUGGGAGACCAAAAGCAAUGCCGGGUAGUUUCACGAUAAUGCCUUCUUUUCCUUAAAGGCAUUUGCUUAACUUGAUUUGGUGAUAC